rnacentral:rRNA from 1 species
AUUGAACGCUGGCGGCAGGCCUAACACAUGCAAGUCGAACGAGUGGCGGACGGGUGAGUACUUUCUGGGAACCUGCCUGAUCGAGGGGGCUAACUACUGUAAACGGUAGCUAAUCCCGCAUACCCUCAUAUGUGCCCAGAUGGGAUUAGCUUGUUGGUGGGGUAACGGAGCACCAAGGCGACGAUCCCUAGCUGGUCUGAGAGGAUGACCGGCCACACUGGAACUGAGACACGGUCCAGACUCCUACGGGAGGCAGCAGUGGGGAAUAGUGCACAAUGGGCGAAAGCCUGAUGCAGCCAUGCCGCGUGUAUGAAGAAGGCCUUCGGGUUGGAAAGUACUGUCAGCGGGGAGGCGGUACCUACAGAAGAAGCACCGGCUAACUCCGUGCCAGCAGCCGCGGUAAUUC